AGGGAUGCAGUCUGGGACACGUAGUUGCAAACCUAGCGACUUUGUUGUUAGAUUCAAUGACUUUUCAGACCCCCUAACGACUUUUUUUAGAAAGAAAGGGACUUUUAUCGACUUCUUCUGGAGUUUAGAGACUCUGACAUGAAGCAGGCUUUCCUUACUGAGGAGUUAGCAACGCUGCUAAGGGUGCAGAGCCACACAUGCACUCAGAGCUCUGCAUGGGAGACUGAAGCUGACUGAGCUGCAGCAGUUAGCAGGUUUCACCCUCAGAGACCACCAGGGGUUCAUGUUGAGGCAUUUUAAAUUUUUUUUUUUUUUAGUGCCAUAGACACUGUCAGCACAAUCUGCAGUUACACUAACAAAAAUGCUGCAAAAAACAAAGAAUUAUGGAAAAAUUACACAUGGACUGACAUAGAGGAGGAUCUACACAAGUUUUUUACAUCAUGUUUUACAUCAUGCAUCAUUUACAUCAUGUUUUUUUGUAGUGGCAUAAAUAAAAAGUGACAUUUGUGAGACUAUACAGUGUUUUGUAAAUAAUUUUACAAAGAACGCCUGGGCCAUUGCCUGCAUUUUGAUGUAAAUAGAGGUAAAUUACUAUGUUCUUUGUUAAAAAUUUGCAUAUGUUUUGAAGUUUACAAUUUUUAUUUGAAGUUUAAGUUUUAAAAACAGUUCAUCACACAUAUUUGUGGUUUAAUUUCACAUUAAUUUCCAUAUUGUAUAAAUGACUGGAAAAAACUUGAGCCCCUGCCCCUGUAUAAUCAUGUGCACGUCCCUGUUCUAGCUCCAAGGUGAAUCUUCACUGCUCAUGUUCUCCUCAGAAAUAGUCACCUCACUCCCCUCAGGUUACUGUACACAUGCACCAACUAUCUGCUUCAGGUUUGAAAUGGAGCUUCAUGGUUGUCUUUUGGAGAAAUGAACAGUCAAGUUGUGUUUGAAAUUUGAUUUUUUUCAGGGGCAAAAGGAAGCCUCUGCAUUCUUGUCAAAUAUGUAAACAGCAUGUUUUUGAAGGUGCUAAAAACCAGACUCUGAGUGUGUGUGUGUGUGUGUCUGUGUGUGUGUGUGUGUGUGUGUAUGUUGGCGUGUGUGUAUAUGUGUGUGUAUCCUGCAGUACUCUGUACUCCUGCAGUGGCCAAAAAGACUUUUAAGAAUGUGGAUUUUUGGGUCAUCUUUGGCGCCCCCUAGAACUGCAGUACUCUGUACUCCUGUAGUGGCCAAAAUGACUUUUAAGAAUGUGGAUUUUUGGGUCAUCUCUUGCGCCCCCUAGAACGUAAACCGUGGGGUGCAGCGUCAUGAUUUUUACAACUUUGAAUGGGCAUGGGGUGUAGAUUGCCCUGAGCAAAUUUGGUAUCGGUGGGACGAAAGCCUUAGGAGGAGAUAGCCACAUUCCAAUGUGUGCGAAUCGGCAAAAAAUGCAAAAUAGCCCUUUAACCGUACAUUAUACAGAUACGCGCUCUUUGACUUUUUCGUAGAUCUAAUUGAGAUACACAUGAUUGUCAAUUUUUUUGUCAAUAUGACAAAGCGUAAAGGCGUGACACUCAACAACGUGUAUUUUCACCUUUCGGGAUAAGAAAAAAUGGACUUUUUUCUCCUGCCAUGGGGGGGCGCUCUUUUGGGGAGUAAAAAUUUCUUCACAAAUGUGUUGAUGGCUGGACAUUGCAUCAUCCUAAAAAACUUGGAGGCCAGUAUGGAAAAAAAUAAAAAGUUAUAAGACUUUUAAGAAUGUGGAUUUUUGGGUUAUAUUUGGUGCCCCCUAGAACCCAAACCGUGGGGUGCAGCAAGAUGAUUUGUACAACUUUUAAUGGCCAUGGGGUGUAGAUUGGCCGGAGCAAAUUUGGUGCCGGUGGAAAGAUAGCCUUCGGAGGAGUUAGUGAAAUUCCAAUGUGUGCGGAUCAGCAAAAAAUGCAAAAUAGCCCUUUAACCGUACAUUUGACAGAUACAUGCCCUUUGACUUUUUCGUAGAUCUUAUUGAGAUACAUGUGAUUGUCAAAUUUUGUGUCAAUAUGACAAAGCAUACAAACGUGACACUCGACAAUGUGUAUUUUGACCUUUGGAGACAAGAAAAAAUGGACCUUUUUCUCCUGCCAUUGGGGGGCGCUCUUUUGGGGAGUAAAAAUUCCUUCACAAAUGUGUUGAUGGCUGGACAUUGCAUCAUCCUAGAAAACUUGGAGGCCAGUGAGGACAAAAGUAAAAAGUUAUAAGACUUUUAAGAAUGUGGAUUUUUGGGUUAUCUUUGGCGCCCCCUAGAACGUAAACCGUGGGGUGCAGCGUCAUGAUUUGUACAACUUUUAAUGGCCAUGGGGUGUAGAUUGGCCUGCGCAAAUGUGGUGCCGGUCGAACGAAAGCCUUCGGAGGAGUUAGCGAAAUUCCAAUGUGUGCAGAUCUGCAAAAAAUGAAAAAUAACCCAUUAACCGUACAUUUGACAGAUACGCCCGCACUGACUUUUUUGUACAUCUUAUUGAGAUACACGUGUGUGUCAAUUUUUCUGUCAAUAUGACAAAGCGUACAGCCGUCAUGUGAAUUUUCACCUUAGGGGGCGCUAUGGAGCCAUUUUGCAUUUUAUUGUUUGGGCGACUUCAGAAUAUCGAAUUUUUCACCAGGCCCGGUCGUCCUGCCAAAUUUCCUGAGUUUUCGCCAGUGGGAAGUGGGCCAUUUUCCAGUUUAAAGCGGAGGAAAAAUAACUAGGGCCCCGUUGGGGCACUGGCGGGCCCGAGCCGCGUCGCGCCGCCCCCAGCGCGACCGCCUCCCUGAUCCAUUAGGUUUAAAUAGAAAAAGCAUUAAAAUAUGUUAGGAUUAUAGCAUUAACAAAUGUGUGCCUCUCAGUGGCCUUAACUACUUUGUCUGCUGGCUCUGCAGUCGAUUGACGCUCCCCAGCGUUCAAGUCACAUGACAAAUUUAACCGGAUGUAGCUGCAAGACGGAGCCUCGUUGACUCUCCGUUUCAACUUAUCUCCAAAGUGAGGACCUUAAACUAUAUACCAGUUUUUAAAUUGUGUUGAUAGGCCAAAUAAAACCAGAGUUAUGAUAAAUUAUGUCUGCGAUACUUUUUUCCUGCUUAUUUUGAUCACGUUCGGCGCUCGAUCGCGCUGUAUGAGACAGGAAAACAUAGCAUGCAGACAUUAGCGACAGGUCUUACAGGUGGAAAAGGCUUGCCAAAAGAAAAAAAAAAACACACCACAACAUCUCUCCUAUUGGUGGAAAACUUCACCACAACAACCAAUCCAAAAUUAUAUGGUGACUGAUUGACAAGGGGCGGGCGCUUACGUUCUUCCUGCAACAUGAGAAGGGAUGGAGGGACUCUCAGCAGGGAUGCAGUCUGGGACACGUAGUUGCAAACCUAGCGACUUUGUUGUUAGAUUCAAUUACUUUUCAGACCCCCUAACGACUUUUUAGAAAGAAAGGGACUUUUAUCGACUUCUUCUGGAGUUUAGAGACUCUGACAUGAAGCAGGCUUUCCUUACUGAGGAGUUAGCAACGCUGCUAAGGGUGCAGAGCCACACAUGCGCUCCGAGCUCUGCAUGGGAGACUGAAGCUGACAGAGCUGCAGCAGUUAGCAGGUUUCACCCUCAGAGACCACCAGGGGUUCAUGUUGAGGCAUUUUCAGUUUUUGUUUUUUUUGCCAUAGACUGUCAGCACAAUCUGCAGUUACACUAACAAAAAUGCUGCAAAAAACAAAGAAUUAUGGAAAAAUUACACAUGGACUGACAUAGAGGAGGAUCUACACAAGUUUUUUACAUCAUGUUUUACAUCAUGCAUCAUUUACAUCAUGUUUUUUUGUAGUGGCAUAAAUAAAAAGUGACAUUUGUGAGACUAUACAGUGUUUUGUAAAUAAUUUUACAAAGAACGCCUGGGCCAUUGCCUGCAUUUUGAUGUAAAUAGAGGUAAAUUACUAUGUUCUUUGUUAAAAAUUUGCAUAUGUUUUGAAGUUUACAAUUUUUAUUUGAAGUUUAAGUUUUAAAAACAGUUCAUCACACAUAUUUGUGGUUUAAUUUCACAUUAAUUUCCAUAUUGUAUAAAUGACUGGAAAAAACUUGAGCCCCUGCCCCUGUAUAAUCAUGUGCACGUCCCUGUUCUAGCUCCAA